rnacentral:rRNA from 1 species
CAGCAGCCGCGGGAAUACGAAGGGGGCUAGCGUUACUCGGAAUUACUGGGCGUAAAGGGCGCGUAGGCGGCGCUCCAAGUUAGGCGUGAAAGUCCUGGGCUCAACCUGGGAACUGCGCUUAAGACUGGAGUGCUUGAGGAUGGAAGAGGGUUGUGGAAUUCCCAGUGUAGAGGUGAAAUUCGUAGAUAUUGGGAAGAACACCGGUGGCGAAGGCGGCAACCUGGUCCAUUACUGACGCUGAGGCGCGACAGCGUGGGGAGCAAACAGGAUUAGAUACCCCAGUAGUCCCUGUCUCUUAUAC